rnacentral:hammerhead_ribozyme from 2 species
AUCCAGCUGAUGAAACCUAAAUAGGACGAAACUCAAGUACUGGAU